GGCGGUGGUGUUGAUGUUGUGACGUCCCUUUCGUCAUCGUCAACCAACCAUCAAUGAUUUCUCGCCGUCCGACGGAGUCUUCAAACGGGCGUCAUAGAUAAUAUAUAUAUGAUCGAUCGGACACAGACACGGGGCGCCUUCGGCGGGUCACAGCGAUAGAUCACGUGACUUGAUAGAUCGCGGCCGGCGAUGAGGUGGGAAGGUCACUGAGCAUCGAAACAAUCAAAGGACAAGGACAAAAAGACAAUCGGUAAUAGUGGCUGAUGGGCGAGAGAGAGAAAGGACAGAUGUAGAGACAGAGAAUAUAUAUAUAUAUAUUGUGAAAGAAGGGGAUGGAGGAUACAUAUAUUGAGAAAGAGAAUAAGAGAUAUAAAAGAUAUAUAUGUGGAUAGGAGGAGAUGGAAACAAUGACAGUGAAUAUACAAAAAGACA
rnacentral:sRNA from 1 species